GCCUCCUCUCCUCCUCGCUUGCUGCCGCUGUAAACAGAAGCGGCAGAGACAGCAGGGAAUUCCUCUGCGUAAUGGUGUCGGCAGGCAGCAUGCGGCAGAAUGACGGCGCUGCCUAGCGGCCGACACAAAGAAACUGCUCCAUCUCAUGAGGCUACAAUCUCAAAAGGGACACAAGUACAUGUCGCCCUCUAGUGGACAAACAUCAACCCGUCGUGACAGUGACAUUCACCCCUGAGUCAGUUCCGGUUCUUUCAAUGUCUAUUUCCAGCUUUGUCCGGUUUUCGGUCAGUAAAUACCACAGAGAACAAUACAGAAUGAAGAUGGGGAAAUUA